UUUCGGCGAUCUUCGGGGCUGCAUGAGGUAUGGAAAUCGAUCCUCUUGGUGAGCUAUACGUACUGGUAUACUUAGUUUUCAGUUUUGGAUGGGUUUUGACGAAUUGAUGUUUUGGUGGUUCGGGUACCAGCGGAGCCGCUGUCCUCCUUGGUUGUCCUUUGCUUCUGGGUUCGUCGCUGACCUCCUGGAGCAUGGAUUGGCAUAUGUUGGAGCUCGAUUCCUUGAGUGGGUUGAAUUGGGAGACUGCAGUUAAAUUUGGGUUCCAGAAAAUUCAAAGCUAAGGAAAGAGAAAGUAAGAACAAAGCGAAUAAUUGAACUUUGGAAGGAAUUCGAAGGAAUGAUGGAACCGAUAAUUAAGGAACAGGAGGAGAAAGCAUACUGUUGUUUCUAGUCCAACAAUCCAGCAAGAAGGAAGAGUUUAAUCUAAAGAUUUACAAGGUAAGUGAGAGGUCACCUUGGAUAAUUAUAGUUGGACCCGAC